GAGAGACGACGGGAUGGAAAGAUUGAGAGGAGAAAGAGAUUGAUAGCGACAAACCGCCGUCAGCAGCGGAGCGGCGACGGUGGCGGAGCGGCGACGGCGGCGGUGUAUGUUAUUGUUCAGUUACGGUAUCUUCAAGUUUGUGUUCAAGUUAGAUGUCGGUUCAUGUGUGGUUCGAUUCACCUCAUAAUUCAGUUCAGGAUCUCGGGUCUUUUGGUUCAAGGUUCGGGUCAGUAUCGACUCGGUACAGGUGAACUCGGUUCAGUUUAGAUUUGAAGGUGGUUCGGGGCGACGCUGGCAACGGCUGAACACGGCGGCAGUACCGCCGCUCACAGUGACGGUGGUAUGUUCUCUCGACAAAAUCUCCGGUUCAGGUCUUUCGGGUUUUCGGGUUUUCGGGUUAAACCCAGUUGACUCAGUCAACACCUGAGUCAACUCGGGUCAACAGCAUGUCGAAAGUUGUCAAGGGCGGUCAAUGAGUCGGUUCGGGUCAGUGGUUUCGGGUCAGAUUAUGAAGCAGAGCGGGUCGACUCAGUCAAGCCUGGUCAACACAACGAGUUAACUCAGUCAACUCAGUUGACCCGGUCAACUCGGUCAAUCCAGCCAAGCAGCUCGACGUUCCGACACGAAGAUUUGGAAUAUUGUAGAAUGCACGCUAGCGAGUCUCGCCUUGGAAACGACAUCACGAAGUCGUAAUUAGCUAGCUUUGCACAAGAAAAUUCAGGUUGCAUUUCAAAGUUAAGGCAGGGUUGGAAUAGGAGAACCAUUGGAGAUCCGAGUACUUAGUGGGCGUUCAUUUUCUAGAAGUCUUAGCUUAUUUGCUUCCGCUGUGCAAUGAAGAUACCAGUCCAGUCACGCCAGCCCUGUCACGCCAGCUCUGAUAAUUUCGGGGUGUGACAAAUUAAGUUUAGGGGAGUGUGUUAGUAGAAAAACUUAAUUAUAUUUAUGUUCUGUAUAUUUAGGAUUAUUAAACUUAUGGUGGUUCAGCCUUAGAGAAUGGGGAGAUUCAGCCUUAGAGGCUGGGGAGGUUCAAAAUACAUGUUACAAUUAUUUCAGACUUUUUAUACAUGGUAUGGUUAGCUUAAGGAGGGUUUACUACUUAGAUCAUGUGAAAGGUGGGUAUAACACUUAAGGCCAUUAAUCCUCAUCGUAGGACCGAGGGACAUGAGUGAUAGAUCUAUUUGGGUGUAGCGAACCCACACCCAUGAGGCCGGGGCGGCCCAUAGUGGUGACUGUGUCUUACAGCCGAGGCCCGGUACAAAUUUGCUAGGUUUGAGUACUUCCUGCACCGUUUCACACAUACUAGUGGCUUUGCAACCCAAAGGUUGCAUUUCAAAGUUAAGGCAGGGUUGGAAUAGGAGAACCAUUGGAGAUCCGAGUACUUAGUGGGCGUUCAUUUUCUAGAAGUCUUAGCUUAUUUGCUUCCGCUGUGCAAUGAAGAUACCAGUCCAGUCACGCCAGCCCUGUCACGCCAGCUCUGAUAAUUUCGGGGUGUGACAAAUUAAGUUUAGGGGAGUGUGUUAGUAGAAAAACUUAAUUAUAUUUAUGUUCUGUAUAUUUAGGAUUAUUAAACUUAUGGUUAUAUGUAUGUAUCGAUGAAGGUUAUGUUGGUUUGAAGAGACGCCAUUUCAAACACCGGUUAUUCCCUCCAAAUCCAACCACCAAGUAACCACCAUGACUUAUGUAUAUAUAGAUAUAUGCCGGCAACUUUUGUCGGCACCAAGACAAUUUUUAUUAUUAUUAUCAAUUGUCCACUAUUUUUU
rnacentral:lncRNA from 1 species